rnacentral:rRNA from 2 species
AUCUUGCCUAACACAUGCAAGUCGAACGAACUCUGGUAUUGAUUGGUGCUUGCAUCAUGAUUUACAUUUGAGUGAGUGGCGAACUGGUGAGUAACACGUGGGAAACCUGCCCAGAAGCGGGGGAUAACACCUGGAAACAGAUGCUAAUACCGCAUAACAACUUGGACCGCAUGGUCCGAGUUUGAAAGAUGGCUUCGGCUAUCACUUUUGGAUGGUCCCGCGGCGUAUUAGCUAGAUGGUGGGGUAACGGCUCACCAUGGCAAUGAUACGUAGCCGACCUGAGAGGGUAAUCGGCCACAUUGGGACUGAGACACGGCCCAAACUCCUACGGGAGGCAGCAGUAGGGAAUCUUCCACAAUGGACGAAAGUCUGAUGGAGCAACGCCGCGUGAGUGAAGAAGGGUUUCGGCUCGUAAAACUCUGUUGUUAAAGAAGAACAUAUCUGAGAGUAACUGUUCAGGUAUUGACGGUAUUUAACCAGAAAGCCACGGCUAACUACGUGCCAGCAGCCGCGGGUAAUAC